rnacentral:rRNA from 1 species
UGGGGAAUCUUGCACAAUGGGGGAAACCCUGAUGCAGCGACGCCGCGUGAGCGAUGAAGGUUUUCGAAUCGUAAAGCUCUGUCCUAUGGGAAGAUAAUGACGGUACCAUGGGAGGAAGCCCCGGCUAACUACGUGCCAGCAGCCGCGGUAAUACGUAGGGGGCGAGCGUUGUCCGGAAUUACUGGGCGUAAAGGGUUCGCAGGCGGCAUGGCAAGUCCGAUGUAAAAGGCGACGGCUCAACCUUCGUAAGCAUCGGAAACUGUCAAGCUUGAGUGAAGGAGAGGCAAGUGGAAUUCCUAGUGUAGCGGUGGAAUGCGUAGAUAUUAGGAGGAAUACCGGUGGCGAAGGCGACUUGCUGGACUUCAACUGACGCUGAGGAACGAAAGCGUGGGUAGCAAACAGG